UCCGCGAACCUAGUUGCUUGCGAUGCAAAAAAAAAAAAAAAAAAAAAAAAAAAAA
rnacentral:ribozyme from 13 species